CAGCAGCAUCACAUGGCAGCUGCUGCUGCUGCUGAGCCAGAGCCUGUCUGGGUCUGGAUCCUCUCCUAUAAACAGCAAGAUGGCGGCAGUCACGUUCCUGCUGUGGCGUCACCAGAUCCUCUGUCCUGCAGGCUGCAGAGCAGGGUGCAGGGCUGAGACCGUUAUAUCUGUACCGGGUAUAUGAUCCACGAUGACUGCAGUAACCGGCUGCCGACAUGCCCUCCUGUGCAUACCAUGAUCCUCUGUUUGGUAGUUACAUUGAGACAAGCUGAGCGGCCACAGAAGAUUACACAACACGAAUGAAGGAAUGUAAAGCGGUAUUUUUGUCCUCCGUUCCGGGUCUCUAUUCCCCAGUGGUAACAAGUUGGCUGUGUGAGGUCUCUGCUGGUUCUUCCCUAUGUACUGCUCACUUUAACAAGGCACGUUUAAAUAUGUUGAUUAUGCCUCUAAAAAAAAAAAAAAAUUGUUUUUUUUAAUACAGGCUGGCCUAUAAAUUCAAAAAUAAAGGCAAAAAGUUGCGUAACAAUGCCCGGAGAAUGAUUUCAUUGUCCUAAUUUUAGAUUUGAGUGAAGUCUAAGGAAUCAGUAUAUACAAAUCAGUUCCCCAAACACCCCCACAGGCCGCGUUUAAACAGUCUUUUAUGUUGCACCUCUCUACUCUUGCUGAUGGGCUGUUUAAAAUAGGCCAAGCGGGUGUCAAAGCCCCCCCCUCCUUUCGUGACUAUACCAUUCAUGAGUAAGUUA